rnacentral:rRNA from 1 species
GACGAACGCUGGCGGCGUGCUUAACACAUGCCAGUCGAACGCUGAAGCUUGGUGCUUGCACUGGGUGGAUGAGUGGCGAACGGGUGAGUAAUACGUGAGUAACCUGCCCUUGACUCUGUGAUAAGCCUGGGAAACUGGGUCUAAUACUGGAUAUGACAUGCCACUGCAUGGUGGUGUGUGGAAAGGGUUUUACUGGUUUUGGAUGGGCUCACGGCCUAUCAGCUUGUUGGUGGGGUAAUGGCCUACCAAGGCGACGACGGGUAGCCGGCCUGAGAGGGUGACCGGCCACACUGGGACUGAGACACGGCCCAGACUCCUACGGGAGGCAGCAGUGGGGAAUAUUGCACAAUGGGCGGAAGCCUGAUGCAGCGACGCCGCGUGAGGGAUGACGGCCUUCGGGUUGUAAACCUCUUUCAGCACGGAAGAAGCGAGAGUGACGGUACGUGCAGAAGAAGCGCCGGCUAACUACGUG